UGUUGUGUCCAGGGGAAAGGAGAGUACACCAUGGUGUAUAGCAGAUACCAGCCUUGUCUGCCUGGCACUCAGGAGGAGCUCAUCAACAGGACAGCUGCCUGCCAAGAAGGGGAAGUGGAAGAACUGAGGAUGGACAACACACACAAUCAAUGAAUUGACAAUGGCCCAACACACCUCCAGGCAGUUUAAGGGCUAUUUGACCAAGAAGGAGAGUGAUGGUGUGCCGCAUCAGAUGACCUGGCCUCCACAAUCACCCGACCUCAACCCAAUUGAGAUGGUUUGGGAUGAGUUGGACCACAGAGUAAACGAAAAGCAGCCUUCAAGUGCUCAGCAUAUGUGGGAACUCCUUCAAGACUGGUGGAGAAGCAUUCCAGGUGAAGCUGGUUGAGAGAAUGCUUAGUGUGUGCAAAGCUGUCAUCAAAGCAAAGGGUGGCUACUUUAAAGAAUCUGAUAAACAAAUACAUUUAUUUGUUUAACACUUUUUUUGGUUACUACAUGAUUCCAUGUGUUAUUUCAUAGUUUUGUCUUCACUAUUAUUCUACAAUGUAGAAAAUAGUAAAAAUAAAGAAAAACCAUUGAAUGAGUAGGUGUGUCCAUACUUUUGACUGGUAUGUGUGUAUGUAUAAAGAACAUGGGGAAUUUGAAAUGAUGCAGACAAUUACAUAGAUUGUAGCUUUCAUAAAGCUCGUCUACCCCCUUAAAAAAUAACAUUACAGUACUGCAAUGGAAUCCUUGACAGAUGCACACAAACCUACACAGUGCUCAAUCAACUGUAAACAUACUCUGCCUCGCCAAGGGCUCCCGAGUGGCGCAGCGGUCUAAGGCGUCACUACAGACCCUGGUUCGAUUCCAGGCUGUAUCACAACCCGGCCACGAUUGGGAGUCCAAUAGGGCGGCACACAAUUGGCCCAGCGGCAUCCGUUUUAGGGUUUGGCCAUCAUCGUAAAUAAGAAUUUGUUCUUAACUUGCCUAGUUAAAUAAACGUGAUAUUAAAAUAAGGUGGGUUUAUUAUAUCAUAUGUGCAUUCAAAAUGCUACAAAUGAUCAGAGAUGACCAAGUGAAUUCCCUUGAUUCACCCCCUUGCCCCCCCCACACACACUGUUCUAAAGUAUUUAUUAUGACUAUUUCCAUUCAGCCUUUGCUCUCCAGCAAACAGCCUUGUCCCACAGCCUAGCAUUUUUUAUGAAGUUUGGACUUCAACUUGAGCAUGUAUAUUAACUGGUUUUGUACUAUGUACAGCAUAUGUUGUAAUGAUGAUUAAAUAAGAUUGACCUAAUACUACCAUUUCA